rnacentral:rRNA from 14 species
AUUUAGGUCUAUGGCCUCGCCACCAUGAACGCUUCUGAUCUUAGAAGCUAAGCAGGCUUGGCCUGGUUGGUACUUGGAUGAGAAAAACUGUAAGAGGAAAACCUGGCCUAAAAA